GACGAACGCUGGCGGCGUGCCUAAUACAUGCAAGUAGAACGCUGAAGAGAGGAGCUUACUCUUCUUGGAUGAGUUGCGAACGGGUGGGUAACGCGUAGGUAACCUGCCUUGUAGCGGGGGAUAACUAUUGGAAACGAUAGCUAAUACCGCAUAACAAUGGAUGACACAUGUCAUUUAUUUGAAAGGGGCAAUUGCUCCACUACAAGAUGGACCUGCGUUGUAUUAGCUAGUAGGUGAGGUAAUGGCUCACCUAGGCGACGAUACAUAGCCGACCUGAGAGGGUGAUCGGCCACACUGGGACUGAGACACGGCCCAGACUCCUACGGGAGGCAGCAGUAGGGAAUCUUCGGCAAUGGGGGCAACCCUGACCGAGCAACGCCGCGUGAGUGAAGAAGGUUUUCGGAUCGUAAAGCUCUGUUGUAAGUCAAGAACGGGUGUGAGAGUGGAAAGUUCACACUGUGACGGUAGCUUACCAGAAAGGGACGGCUAACUACGUG
rnacentral:rRNA from 1 species